rnacentral:lncRNA from 1 species
UAUAUAUUGAAUUAUUGAUAUAUUUAAUAGAAUAAUGCAUACAUAUAAAAUUAUCUUUUACAGUUUUUGGUAGUUUAUAUCGUAUGAAAACGUUAUACUGUACUGUAUUGUAAAUGCAGUCUGUUGGAAAAUAAACAUGGUAAAGUGUUCUUAAAACGGUUGUGAUAAAAACUAAUAUAUAGUUUUGUGUUUCAAUGGUUAUAAUGUUUCUUUUUUCAUAUAAAAUCUUCAUAUAAUUUAAAAAUAAAACAAUAAUCAAAAUUCAAUUAAAACAAAUUCCUUUAGCAUAGAUAUUCAUUUAUAUAGAAUCAUUGGUGUAACAAUCGGGUGCAGAGUGUGCAGACAUGGGCCCGUGAGCUAAGAGGGUCCAUGAAGAUCUAAGGCUCUAAUUAUAAAAAAAAAAUUAUGUUUAAAGUUAAUCUAAGUAUAUAUAUGUUACAGUCAGUGCUCGACUCUGGCCGAUUCGCGAAGUGGUGGCCACUUCUGGAUUUGACCGGGUCAUUUGGCCAAGGACCGAAAUGUACGAGAGUUUACGACUAUUUCAGGCUUUGGCCGGCCAAUUCCCGAUGCGCCUCACAAUCAAUGGUCAAUUUGGGAAUUAUCCAAGAAAAAGUGGCUAAAGGUUGAAAUUUUGCAGGGCUAAGUGGCGGAGUGCAUUCAUGCGUCACAUGUAGGUCUUAC